CUACGGAGGGUGCAAGCGUUACUCGGAAUCACUGGGCGUAAAGCGCGCGCAGGCGGGCUGAUAAGUUGGAUGUGAAAGCCUACGGCUCAACCGUAGAACUGCAUCCAAAACUGUCAGUCUAGAGUCUGGGAGGGGAAGAUGGAAUUAGUUGUGUAGGGGUAAAAUCCGUAGAGAUAACUAGGAAUACCAAAAGCGAAGGCGAUCUUCUGGAACAGUACUGACGCUGAGGCGCGAAAGCGUGGGGAGCAAACAGGAUUAGAUACCCCUGUAGUCC
rnacentral:rRNA from 1 species